rnacentral:rRNA from 2 species
UUUCCCUCAGGAUAGCUGGCACUCGCUUGAGCGAGUCUCAUCUGGUAAAGCGAAUGAUUAGAGGCCUUGGGGCCGAAACGACCUCAACCUAUUCUCAAACUUUAAAUGGGUGAGAUGACUGGCUUGCUUGAACGUUGAAGCCAUGUCACAUUAAGCGAAGGAUCAGAGUGCCAAGUGGGCCAAUUUUGGUAAGCAGAACUGGCGCUGUGGGA